GAUCAAAGUGUAGUAUCUGUUCUUAUCAGCUUAAUAUCUGAUACGACCUCCAUCGGAGGUCAAGAUAUUAAACUAUUUUUUUCCGGAGGUGGAACAUUUGAAGCUUGCUUCUGUUCCACCACGGGUUGCC
rnacentral:snRNA from 1 species